UCCUGAAACCGAAUGCCUACAAACAGUUGGAGCCCAAGAUUUGUUCUGGGUGACAGCGAACCUUUUGUAUAAUGGGUCAGCGACUUAGUCUGACGAGCAAGCUUAAACCGGGAGGUGUAGGCGCAGCGAAAGCGAGUCUGAACAGGGCGUUCAGUUCGUCGGAUUAGACCCGAAACCAAGUGAUCUAGCCAUGAGCAGGUUGACGGUAAGGUAAAACUCACUGGAGGACCGAACCCGCAUCUGUUGCAAUAGAUUGGGAUGACUUGUGGCU
rnacentral:rRNA from 1 species